rnacentral:rRNA from 1 species
CAGCCGCCGCGGGAAUACGGAGGAUCCAAGCGUUAUCCGGAUUUAUUGGGUUUAAAGGGUGCGUAGGUGGCCUGUUAAGUCAGGGGUGAAAGACGGUAGCUCAACUAUCGCAGUGCCCUUGAUACUGAUGGGCUUGAAUGAACUAGAGGUAGGCGGAAUGUGACAAGUAGCGGUGAAAUGCAUAGAUAUGUCACAGAACACCAAUUGCGAAGGCAGCUUACUAUGGUUUUAUUGACACUGAGGCACGAAAGCGUGGGGAUCAAACAGGAUUAGAUACCCCAGUAGUCCCUGUCUCUUAUAA